rnacentral:snoRNA from 1 species
GACUGUUGAUAAUGUGGACAAUCCCAAAGAAGAGCCUUGAAGCAUUCCCAUGCAUGAUAAAAAUUUUCAACUGGCUUUUGUUUGAAACUCACUAUCUCACUGCGAAGCC